AUACUUUUUACCUCAUCUGUUGACGAUCCAAGUACUUUCUCCGAUUGAAUGCUUCUGAUUAGUCUCCAUUGAUUCGAUUAAGUCUGAAAAAAAAGAAGUUACCAAGCGUACUUUAGGACGAAGCACAUCAUCUUCUUGUUUUCGAAACUAAAAAUGUCCCGGUGUGGUAGAUGCAAAUAGAAAGUUCCUGAUAUCAGGGCGACUUAUGCAAUUUGCCUGCAUGAAUAUUAAUUAAAACUAUUGAGCGUGCAGCGAUUAAAUAGAAAAAACAAAUAAAUAAAUGGAUGUAGGAUGCCCAAGACCUUCGACCUUGUCGAGUUACCAACGACCUUACUGAGUUAUGUCGACCUUUCACUUGUUGAUCCGAAUCAUCCUUUAGAUCCCAGAUGUUAUAAAAAGAUUCAGAUACUUAAUUGAGUGGCAAAACGAAGAAAUGUUUGUUCCACUUAGUGGGAUUAACUAUUAAUUAUAAUUGAUGUAAAAAUAUAAAUUUGGUGGUCUUAAAAAUUACCGACUGUUUAAAAGCAAUAAAACAAUAAAAUAAGCAACAACAAUUAGAAUAAAUGUUAAGAGACGUGAUGAGUGAAAAGAAAGUAUAAUGGCUUGAUAAAUAUUAAAUAAAUAUGUCCGUGAGAAAGUCAAAAGAUCAAGAAUCAAGAUGCUGUUGAUGAAAGUGGACAACUAACCAGAAGCUUGGGUAUAGUGACCUGUUGGCGGUCCGUAAGAAGGAGCAGGUGGAGAAUCGCUGGACGCUGAAGAAGCUCCUACGAUUCCAAAGACCGCGUUGAUCACUGUAGAUACCAGGGAAAUUCCACCUCCUAGAAGCUCCUUCACUGUGUUUCCUAUUAAACUCAGAGGAUUUACUGUAUUUGCAGCUGGAACUAAUCCUGUGUGUUGAUUAUAAGGGCUCGGUGGAGUAGGACCAGGCCUGAAUUGCUGAGUUUGACUCGCGGGUCGCGACGGAGCCGCGAAUUGUUGGUACUGAGGCCGGUAUUGUUGGUAC